rnacentral:lncRNA from 1 species
AGUAAUUCAGAAGAAAAUGGUGAGAAUCCACUUAUACCAAAAUGUUGACCAGCAACAGUAAACUAAACUACCAAAACAAAAGAUCAAAACCCAUUUCAAACAGUUCAUUUUUCUCAAGAUCUGGAAAUAAACCAAGGCACAGUAAAAUGUAUGGACUCACCUGCAAAGGGAGUUACAGAACAAAUUUGGUGGAUCAAUUGCUAAGUUCUUCUUGAAGAAUACUAGGGAAACGGGGUUAAAGCUAGUGCCACAAGUACUACAAGUAUUAGGAAGCGAAAAAUAUCUGGUGGAGUGAAUCUUGGUAGCACCAAAUGCAAUUGGAG